GAUGAACGCUGGCGGCGUGCCUAACACAUGCAAGUCGAGCGAACAGACGAGGCGCUUGCUUCUCUGACGUUAGCGGCGGGUGGGUGAGUCACACGAGGAUAACCGACCUAUAAGAAUGAGAUAAGUACGGGGAAGCGGAUCUCAUAUCCGAUCAUAUAUUGAAACGCAUGGAUCUACAGUCCAAGCCGGAUUUGAUGUCACUAAUUGAGGUUACCUCGCCGCAUUAGCUAGUUGGUAAGGUAACGGCUUACCAAGGCAACGAUGCGUAGCCGACCUGAGAGGGUGAUCAGCCACACUGGAACUGAGACACGGUCCAGACUCCUACGGGAGGCAGCAGUGGGGAAUCUUGCGCAAUGGGCGAAAGCCUGACGGAGCAAUGCCGCGUGAGUGAUGAAGGUCUUCGGAUCGUAAAGCACUGUUAGUAGGGAGGAACGGAUGUGUGAGUAACUAUGGCUGUCUUGACGUUACCUACUCAGUAAGCAACGGCUAACUACGUG
rnacentral:rRNA from 1 species